AGUGAACGCUGGCGGUGGGCCUAACACAUGCAAGUCGAACGGCCACACAGUAAGAGCUUGCCCUUGCGGGUGGCGAGUGGCGGACGGGUGAGGCGUACAUCGGCAUCUUCUUUUUCGUGGGGGAUAACGUGGGGACACUUACGCUAAUACCUCAUACGUCCUACGGGUGAGAGCAGUAGAUCUUGAGACCUUGCGCGAUUCAAUGAGACGAUGUCGGAUUAGCUAGUUGGCGGGGUAAAGUCACACCAAGGCGACGAUGCGUAGCUGAUCUGAGAGGAUGAUCAGCCACACUGGAACUGAGACACGGUCCAGACUCCUACGGGAGGCAGCAGUGGGGAAUAUUGGACAAUGGGCGCAAGCCUGAUGGAGCCAUACCGCGUGAGUGAUGAAGGCCUUCGGGUUGUAAAGCUCUUUUGUUGGGAAAGAAAAGCUGUAGGUGUAUACCCGGAUGUCUUGACGGUACCUAAAGAGUAAGCACCGGCUAACUUCGUG
rnacentral:rRNA from 1 species